GCGCUGGAGCCUUCCCGGCCCCGGCCCCUGCCCCUUCCCCUUCCUCCUCCCGCCCCGGCCGCGCUGCUGGAGGAAGAGGAAGCUCCCCGACAGGGCGGCGGCCCUCCCGCGCGGGCUGCCGGGCCAGGGCGGGCUCCGCCCGGGGCAAGGAGGCGGUCGAGGUAACGGAACCCAGCACCGGCCUGACCCAAAGGACACGCAUUAAUCAGCUUUUUUCAUGUAAAAGGAGCGGAGAAAGAGCGGCAGAGAACUGCGUGCUCUGAGCCGGCGUUCUGUCACUGAUCGCGUUACUCAUUCUGCCAGAUUUGGGGAGCUGCGACUCCAGGCACAAGGCUGGAGUCUUUCUUUAGUGGUUUGGGUUUUUUGUUUUGUGGGGGUUUUUGUGGUUUUGGUUUGGUUUUUUGGGUUUUUUUGUUUUGUUUUUUCCGGGUUCUGCUUUUGUCUGGCCUUCAGAGGACUGCCAGAAGUGUCCUUCAGUUAAACUCCAGCUCUGUGGAAAGGAUGCCCACAGUGUGCCGUGUGUUGUCCCACUCGCAGAAGCACAGAAUAGCUUGACUUGAACUAGAAGGGACUCAAAAGGAUCAUGAAAUCAGACUCCUGGCCCUGCAUAGGACCAGCCCCAUGAAUGACAACAUGUGCCAGAGAGCGUAUUUGAAUGCUUCUUGAACUCUUUCUGGCUUGGUGUUGUGAUCACUUCCCUGGAGAGCCCAUUCCAGUGCCCAACCACCCUCUGGGUUAAGAACCUCUUUUUAAUGUCCAGCCUAAACCUCCCCUGACACAACUUCAUGCUGUGCCUUCGGCUCUUGGCACUGCUCAUCAUAGAUAAUAGAUCAGUGUCUGCCCCUCCUCUUCCCCUCAUGAGGAAGUUGUAGACUGCAGUGAGGUCUCCCCUCAGUCUCCUCCAGGCUGAACAGAUCAAGGGACCUCAGCCACUUCUCAUAUGGCUUCUCCUCAAGACCCUGUACUCCAGACAAGUGUCUGUCUUGGUCUGUCCACACCACAAGGACUUUUCAUCCUGUCAUUGUUGGCUUCCUACCCCUUCAUGGAAGUGGGCCUGCUUAUGGUGUCUCACAAUCCACGUUGAAGUGUCCAAAGCACUGGAACUGCACAAGUGAAAUGGUAGGAAUCAGGAACAUCAGACGGCUUUGCUUAGUGAGUCCCAUUUGGAGAUUUUGCAAUGGAAUACAAGCAUCUCACUGGACAAGAGUGAACUUGAAUUUCAGCAGAUUUCUUUCCCUCACAUGGAAACUACUUGGCCUUAGAGCUAUACUCUGCUAAGCGCAACUAAAUAUGCUAUAAAAUGCUCAUUAUCAGUUUAAACUUCUAUUAGAAGUUCUUACUUUGAAUUCUGGACACCACUAGGAUGUGCAAUGGAAAUGCUAUGCUGCUAUGUCCAUAAUUUACUGGCAACCAGCAGUUGCAAAAGCAGUUUCAUUUUUUCACACAUACAGUCCAGGAGUAAAUGUCACUUCUGUCUUCUUUCCUGAGCUGUGGUGAUG
rnacentral:lncRNA from 1 species